AGAAAGCAUAAGUUAAAAAAAACUGUUGGCCUUCAAAUCCGAAAAUGAAAUUUCUGCUUUUUA
rnacentral:tRNA from 1 species